rnacentral:rRNA from 1 species
GACGAACGCUGGCGGCGUGCCUAAUACAUGCAAGUCGAACGAGAGCGCCCGGUGCUUGCCCUGGUCAAUCUAGUGGCGAACGGGUGAGUAACACGUGGGUAACCUGCCCAUCAGAGGGGGAUAACAUCCGGAAACGGAUGCUAAAACCGCGUAGGUCUUCGAGCCGCAUGGCUUGAAGAGGAAAAGAGGCGCAAGCUUCUGCUGAUGGAUGGACCCGCGGUGCAUUAGCUAGUUGGUGAGGUAACGGCUCACCAAGGCCGUGAUGCAUAGCCGACCUGAGAGGGUGAUCGGCCACAUUGGGACUGAGACACGGCCCAAACUCCUACGGGAGGCAGCAGUAGGGAAUCUUCCGCAAUGGACGCAAGUCUGACGGAGCAACGCCGCGUGAGUGAAGAAGGUGUUCGGAUCGUAAAACUCUGUUGUUAGAGAAGAACAAGUGCUAGAGUAACUGUUAGCGCCUUGACGGUAGCUAACCAGAAAGCCACGGCUAACUACGUG